rnacentral:lncRNA from 1 species
GUAGCCUAGUAAGCACGACUUUUAACAGUGCAGCAUUUGGCCACAAGAGCGCGCCUGAGCUACAUUAGUGGCGGUGAACAUGCCAAAAUCUCCUUUCUCUUGUCCUAAAAAUUGUGCACAAAAAAAGCAUUCCAUUCCAAACACUGUCAAAGCCACACCGGAGGCUGUCAGCAUCUCUCUCUGUCUCGCACGAUGAUCCCUGAAAAGCCAGAUGUCGUACACACCCUUGCUUUUUAUUUACUUUUUCUGUCGUUCGUUCCUGCCAACAUUGCCACCAGCAGCUCAAGACAGAACCUAGAUGCAAAUGAAGUCCUCUAUGACAGCCAACCUGGUGAGUCUCAAUGAUUAUUCCCCAUUAAGCUAGAAAUGGUUCAAUAGAAAGGACCACUUUUAAAGAUGCAGUAAGUAUGAAUUUAUUUAGCUGUUUGCUAAUCAAAUCUUCUGAAAUGUCUCACUUGAUUCAACCAAUAUUGUAUUCAUUAUGAUUGCACUGAACAAUACCUAAAAACAACGGAACUGCCCACUUCCUGAAUCAGAUGCCCAUAUGGGGUGAAAAUGAAAACCAAACCCAAUUGCAAUCCCUAGCAGAGUUAGACAAACAACUGGGCAGUGAAAUAAGAAAACAAGUUGCUGCUAACCUAGCAGGGGCGCUCCAAUCCCUCCCCAGCCC